UCCAAUAAUUAACUUCUCAGAUUGGGGAAUACUACUCACCAGAUCAUCCAAGCCCUCCCAAAAGUGCCUCUUAACCUCCUCGUCCAAGCCCGUUUGCGGCGCGUAAACGCUGAUGACGUUGAGGACACAGGCCCCAAUAACCAACUUAAUAGACAUUAACCUAUCAUUCACUCGCCUAACCUCGACCACGGACUCCCUUAGAUCCCUGUCUACCAAGAUGCCCACUCCGUUCUUACCUCUCACGACCCCAGAAUACUACAGCUUAAACCGUCUGCAUUCCUCGCCUUUGACCCUUUCCACCUAGUCUCGCUUUCCACCUAGUCUCGUGGACACAGGUUAUGUUAACCCUCCUCUUCUGAAGAGCCUUCGCCAACUCAAUGGACUUAUCCGUCAGAGUGCCUAUGUUCCACGACCCAAUCCUUAAUCUUCUAAUUCGCGGCUGUCCCCGAGCACCCCUCCUCUUCCUCUUCACCUAGAGACCAACAUCCAUUACUAGGAGUCUGUGAAGAGUCGAAAGGGGCUCUCCCGGAAUAACCUUGCAGUCCUUGCACAUACCCCCAUCGCUCCUUCUGAGGAGGAGGCAAUCCAUCUGAGUCCUCGCCGCCGAACUCUUGAAGGUGACCAAAUGCUCCUCCCUCUUUUGAAAUGUCNNN
rnacentral:lncRNA from 1 species